GGGAGAUGAUAGAGGACGGAAUUAAGACCGGCCGAAUAGUAAGUUUUACCGCAUUAAAAGCCACCACACAAGCGAUUCAAGGUAGAUCUGGCACGUUUGGAGGUAAAAAGAAGAAAGACGAUGCAGCGACUGUCGUAGCUGGAACCCAUUCCUAUCCCAAAAGACCACCUCGCCCCUAUCCCCAAUCCCAAGCCUAAGUCUACACCCAAGCUCCAUAUAUUCCUCCCCACCAUUACUAUCCUCCACAAAACCCUUUAUAUUCUAUUCCACCACCACCGUACCCAGUAUAUAGCGCGCAGCCAUAUGCCCAAACCCCU
rnacentral:lncRNA from 1 species